rnacentral:tRNA from 1 species
UCCCCGGUAGCUCAGUUGGUAGAGCGGGCGGCUGUUAACCGCCAGGUCCCAGGUUCGAUCCCUGGCCGGGGAGCCU